AAAAAAUUUGGGAAAUUUUGUGACUACCAAAAGUGCUCUGUGCAGAAAUGAGAUGCAGUGCAAAGGACCAAAAGAGGACAAAACAAUCCUCACAGCUGAUGGAAAAGCCAGGAAAAAAUCAAGGAGGCAGACACAACUUGGUGGGGAAGAUAUGGGAGAAGUGGAAAGGAUACUUAAAAAGAAAAAAAGAAAAAAAGAAAAUGUUCUUCAAAGUGAAACCCAUCGUAAGGCAUGGCAUGCCAUCAAGUGCAGGGACUUGCACCAAAGCUUGCCCAAUUGAUCCCCAUUGAAAUCGCAAGAUUUCGUUUCCCUUCCCGAAAGGAAAUUUCAUUUCCUUUCGGGAAGGGAAACGAAAUCUUGCGCCCAUGAAAAGAAAGACUUACAAACACUCUGGAAAGGAGAUAUGAUCAAAAGAAAUGCAAUUGAAAAAAACCCCCCAAAAAUGGAAAAUUGGGAGAUUUUGUGACUACAAGAAAGUGGUCUGGCUGGAAAUGAGGUGCAGUGCAAAGGACCAAAAGGGACUUAAACUAACCUCACAGCUGAUGGAAAAGCCAGGAAAAAAUCAAGGAGGCAGACACAACUUGGAGGGGAAGAUGUGGGAGAAAUGGAAAUGAUACUUUAAAAAAAAAAAAAAAAAAAUCACCAAAGUGCAAGCCAUCAAAAGGCAUGGCAUUCUAUCCAGUGCAGGGAGGUGCACGACGUAGACCAAGGCUUGCCAAAAAACAUCCCUGCUGAAGGCCAAAAAAGAAAAGAAGGGCAUACAAACAUUCUGGACUACAAAUAUCUUUAAAUGAAAUGGAUGUGAAGGAAAAAAAAAAAUUUGGGAAAUUUUGUGACUACAAAAAUUGCUCUGUGCAGAAAUGAGAUGCUGUGCAAAGGACCAAAAGAGGCCAAAACAAUCCUCACAGCUGAUGGAAAAGCCAGGAAAAAAUCAAGGAGGCAGACACAACUUGGUGGGGAAGAUAUGGGAGAAGUGGAAAGGAUACUUAAAAAGAAAAAAAAGGAAAAAAAAGAAAAUGUUCUUCAAAGUGAAACCCAUCGUAAGGCAUGGCAUGCCAUCAAGUGCAGGGACUUGCACCAAAGCUUGCCCAAUUGAUCCCCAUUGAAAUCGCAAGAUUUCGUUUCCCUUCCCGAAAGGAAAUUUCAUUUCCUUUCGGGAAGGGAAACGAAAUCUUGCGCCCCUGAAAAGAAAGACUUACAAACACUCUGGAAAGGAGAUAUGAUCAAAAGAAAUGCAAUUGAAAAAAACCCCCCAAAAAUGGAAAAUUGGGAGAUUUUGUGACUACAAGAAAGUGGUCUGGCUGGAAAUGAGGUGCAGUGCAAAGGACCAAAAGGGACUUAAACUAACCUCACAGCUGAUGGAAAAGCCAGGAAAAAAUCAAGGAGGCAGACACAACUUGGAGGGGAAGAUGUGGGAGAAAUGGAAAUGAUACUUUAAAAAAAAAAAAAAAAAUCACCAAAGUGCAAGACAUCAAAAGGCAUGGCAUUCUAUCCAGUGCAGGGAGGUGCACGACAUAGACCAAGGCUUGCCAAAACACAUCCCUGCUGAAGGCCAAAAAAGAAAAGAAGGGCAUACAAACAUUCUGGACUACAGAUAUCCUCAAAGGAAAUGAAUUUGAAGGAGAAAAAAAAAAAAUUUGGGAAAUUUUGUGACUACAAAAAGUGCUCUGUGCAGAAAUGAGAUGCAGUGCAAAGGACCAAAGGAGGCCAAAACAAUCUUCUCAGCUGUUGCAAAAGAAAGGAAAAAGUCAAGGGGGCAGACAAAACUUGGAGUGGAACAUAUGAGAGAAAUGGAAAUGAUACUUAAAAAAAAAAAAAAAAUCCACCAAAGUGCAAGCCAUCAAAAGGCAUGGCAUUCUAUCCAGUGCAGGGACAUGCUUGAUAUACAGCAAGGCUUGCCAAAAGACAUCCCUGCUGAAGGCCAAAAAAGAAAAGAAGGGCAUACAAACAUUCUGGACUACAAAUAUCUUUAAAUGAAAUGGAUGUGAAGGAAAAAAAAAAUUUUGGGAAAUUUUGUGACUACAAAAAUUGCUCUGUGCAGAAAUGAGAUGCUGUGCAAAGGACCAAAAGAGGCCAAAACAAUCCUCACAGCUGAUGCAAAAGCCAGGAAAAAAUCAAGGAGGCAGACACAACUUGGAGGGGAAGAUAUGAGAGAAAUGGAAAUGAUACUUUAAAAAAAAAAAAAAAUCACCAAAGUGCAAGCCAUCAAAAGGCAUGGCAUUCUAUCCAGUGCAGGGACAUGCUUGAUAUACAGCAAGGCUUGCCAAAAGACAUCCCUGCUGAAGGCCAAAAAAGAAAAGAAGGGCAUACAAACAUUCUGGACUACAAAUAUCUUUAAAUGAAAUGGAUGUGAAGGAAAAAAAAAAAUUUGGGAAAUUUUGUGACUAAAAGAAAGUGGUCUGGAUGGAAAUGAGGUGCAGUGCAAAGGACCAAAAGAGGCCAAAACAAUCUUCUCAGCUGUUGCAAAAGCUAGUAAAAAAUCAAGGAGGCAGACACAACUUGGAGGGGAAGAUAUGAGAGAAAUGGAAAUGAUACUUUAAAAAAAAAAAAAAAAAAAAUCACCAAAGUGCAAGCCAUCAAAAGGCAUGGCAUUCUAUCCAGUGCAGGGAGGUGCACGACGUAGACCAAGGCUUGCCAAAACACAUCCCUGCUGAAGGCCAAAAAAGAAAAGAAGGGCAUACAAACAUUCUGGACUACAGAUAUCCUCAAAGGAAAUGAAUUUGAAGGAGAAAAAAAAAAAAUUUGGGAAAUUUUGUGACUACAAAAAUUGCUCUGUGCAGAAAUGAGAUGCAGUGCAAAGGACCAAAAGAGGCCAAAACAAUCCUCACAGCUGAUGCAAAAGCCAGGAAAAAAUCAAGGAGGCAGACACAACUUGGAGGGGAAGAUAUGAGAAAAAUGGAAAUGAUACUUUAAAAAAAAAAAAAAAUCAUCAAAGUGCAAGCCAUCAAAAGGCAUGGCAUUCUAUCCAGUGCAGGGACAUGCUUGAUAUACACCAAGGCUUGCCAAAAGACAUCCCUGCUGAAGGCCAAAAAAGAAAAGAAGGGCAUACAAACAUUCUGGACUACAAAUAUCUUUAAAUGAAAUGGAUGUGAAGGAAAAAAAAAAUAAAUUUGGGAAAUUUUGUGACUACCAAAAGUGCUCUGUGCAGAAAUGAGAUGCUGUGCAAAGGACCAAAAGAGGCCAAAACAAUCCUCACAGCUGAUGGAAAAGCCAGGAAAUAUCAAGGAGGCAGACAGAACUUGGUGGGGAAGAUAUGGGAGAAGUGGAAAGGAUACUUAAAAAGAAAAAAAAGAAAAAAAAGAAAAUGUUCUUCAAAGUGAAACCCAUCGUAAGGCAUGGCAUGCCAUCAAGUGCAGGGACUUGCACCAAAGCUUGCCCAAUUGAUCCCCAUUGAAAUCGCAAGAUUUCGUUUCCCUUCCCGAAAGGAAAUUUCAUUUCCUUUCGGGAAGGGAAACGAAAUCUUGCGCCCCUGAAAAGAAAGACUUACAAACACUCUGGAAAGGAGAUAUGAUCAAAAGAAAUGCAAUUGAAAAAACCCCCCAAAAAUGGAAAAUUGGGAGAUUUUGUGACUACAAGAAAGUGGUCUGGCUGGAAAUGAGGUGCAGUGCAAAGGACCAAAAGGGACUUAAACUAACCUCACAGCUGAUGGAAAAGCCAGGAAAAAAUCAAGGAGGCAGACACAACUUGGAGGGGAAGAUGUGGGAGAAAUGGAAAUGAUACUUAAAAAAAAAAAAAAAAAUCACCAAAGUGCAAGACAUCAAAAGGCAUGGCAUUCUAUCCAGUGCAGGGAGGUGCACGACAUAGACCAAGGCUUGCCAAAACACAUCCCUGCUGAAGGCCAAAAAAGAAAAGAAGGGCAUACAAACAUUCUGGACUACAGAUAUCCUCAAAGGAAAUGAAUUUGAAGGAGAAAAAAAAAAAAUUUGGGAAAUUUUGUGACUACAAAAAGUGCUCUGUGCAGAAAUGAGAUGCAGUGCAAAGGACCAAAGGAGGCCAAAACAAUCUUCUCAGCUGUUGCAAAAGAAAGGAAAAAGUCAAGGAGGCAGAGAAAACUUGGAGUGGAACAUAUGAGAGAAAUGGAAAUGAUACUUAAAAAAAAAAAAAAAAAAAAUCCACCAAAGUGCAAGCCAUCAAAAGGCAUGGCAUUCUAUCCAGUGCAGGGACAUGCUUGAUAUACAGCAAGGCUUGCCAAAAGACAUCCCUGCUGAAGGCCAAAAAAGAAAAGAAGGGCAUACAAACAUUCUGGACUACAAAUAUCUUUAAAUGAAAUGGAUGUGAAGGAAAAAAAAAAUUUUGGGAAAUUUUGUGACUAAAAGAAAGUGGUCUGGAUGGAAAUGAGGUGCAGUGCAAAGGACCAAAAGAGGCCAAAACAAUCUUCUCAGCUGUUGCAAAAGCUAGUAAAAAAUCAAGGAGGCAGACACAACUUGGAGGGGAAGAUAUGAGAGAAAUGGAAAUGAUACUUUAAAAAAAAAAAAAAAUCCACCAAAGUGCAAGCCAUCAAAAGGCAUGGCAUUCUAUCCAGUGCAGGGACAUGCUUGAUAUACAGCAAGGCUUGCCAAAAGACAUCCCUGCUGAAGGCCAAAAAAGAAAAGAAGGGCAUACAAACAUUCUGGACUACAAAUAUCUUUAAAUGAAAUGGAUGUGAAGGAAAAAAAAAAUUUGGGAAAUUUUGUGACUACAAAAAGUGCUCUGUGCAGAAAUGAGAUGCUGUGCAAAGGACCAAAAGAGGACAAAACAAUCCUCACAGCUGAUGGAAAAGCCAGGAAAAAAUCAAGGAGGCAGACACAACUUGGUGGGGAAGAUAUGGGAGAAGUGGAAAGGAUACUUAAAAAGAAUAAAAAGAAAAAAAAGGAAAUGUUCUUCAAAGUGAAACCCAUCGUAAGGCAUGGCAUGCCAUCAAGUGCAGGGACUUGCACCAAAGCUUGCCCAAUUGAUCCCCAUUGAAAUCGCAAG